rnacentral:rRNA from 1 species
AACGGACGCUGGCGGCAGGCUUAACACAUGCAAGUCGAACGCCCCGCAAGGGGAGUGGCAGACGGGUGAGUAACGCGUGGGAACAUACCCUUUCCUGCGGAAUAGCUCUGGGAAACUGGAAUUAAUACCGCAUACGCCCUACGGGGGAAAGAUUUAUCGGGGAAGGAUUGGCCCGCGUUGGAUUAGCUAGUUGGUGGGGUAAAGGCCUACCAAGGCGACGAUCCAUAGCUGGUCUGAGAGGAUGAUCAGCCACAUUGGGACUGAGACACGGCCCAAACUCCUACGGGAGGCAGCAGUGGGGAAUAUUGGACAAUGGGCGCAAGCCUGAUCCAGCCAUGCCGCGUGAGUGAUGAAGGCCUUAGGGUUGUAAAGCUCUUUCACCGAUGAAGAUAAUGACGGUAGUCGGAGAAGAAGCCCCGGCUAACUUCGUGCCAGCCGCCGCAGUAAGAC